UACGGAGGGUGCAAGCGUUAUCCGGAUUUACUGGGUUUAAAGGGUGCGUAGGUGGGCAGUUAAGUCAGCGGUGAAAUCUCUGGGCUUAACCCAGAAACUGCCAUUGAUACUAUCUGUCUUGAAUAUCCUGGAGGUGAGCGGAAUAUGUCAUGUAGCGGUGAAAUGCUUAGAUAUGACAUAGAACACCAAUUGCGAAGGCAGCUCACUACGGGGUUAUUGACACUGAGGCACGAAAGCGUGGGGAUCAAACAGG
rnacentral:rRNA from 1 species